GACAGAGGGGGCGAGCGUUGUCCGGAGUCACUGGGCGUAAAGCGCGCGCAGGCGGUCGCAAAAGUGUCGUGUGAAAGCCCCCGGCUCAACCGGGGGAGGCCAUGGCAAACUCGGCGACUAGAGCGGCGGAGAGGCCCCUCGAAUUGCCGGUGUUGCGGUGAAAUGCGUAGAGAUCGGCAGGAAGACCAAGGGGGAAGCCAGGGGGCUGGCCGCUGGCUGACGCUGAGGCGCGUCAGCGUGGGGAGCGAACCGG
rnacentral:rRNA from 1 species